AUUGAACGCUGGCGGCAUGCCUUACACAUGCAAGUCGAACGGCAGCACGGGUGCUUGCACCUGGUGGCGAGUGGCGAACGGGUGAGUAAUACAUCGGAACGUACCUUAUCGUGGGGGAUAACGCAGCGAAAGCUGUGCUAAUACCGCAUACGCCCUGAGGGGGAAAGCGGGGGAUCGCAAGACCUCGCGCGAUUAGAGCGGCCGAUGCCUGAUUAGCUAGUUGGUGGGGUAAAAGCCCACCAAGGCGACGAUCAGUAGCUGGUCUGAGAGGACGAUCAGCCACACUGGGACUGAGACACGGCCCAGACUCCUACGGGAGGCAGCAGUGGGGAAAUUUGGACAAUGGGGGCAACCCUGAGCCAGCAAUGCCGCGUGAGUGAAGAAGGCCUUCGGGUUGUAAAGCUCUUUUGUCAGGGAAGAAACACCGGCUCUAACACAGUCCGGGAAUGACGGUACCUGAAGAAUAAGCACCGGCUAACUCCGUGCCAGCAGCCGCGGUAA
rnacentral:rRNA from 1 species